CCUACGGGAGGCAGCAGUGGGGCAUAUUGCGCAAUGGGCGAAAGCCUGACGCCGCGACGCCGCGUGAGGGAUGAAGGUCUUCGGAUCGUAAAACUCUGUCAGCAGGGAAGAACGGUCACUGUGCUAAUCAGCAGUGAAUUGACGGUACCUGCAAAGGAAGCACCGGCUAACUCCGUGCCAGCAGCCGCGGUUAUACGGAGGGUGCGAGCGUUUAUCGGAAUUACUGGGCGUAAGGCGCUCGUAGGCGGUAUGUCAAGUCAAGGGUGAAAUCCCCGCGCUCAACGUGGGAACUGCCUUUGAAACUGGCAAACUGGAGUGUGUGAGAGGAUAGUGGAAUUCCAGGUGUAGGAGUGAAAUCAGUAGAUAUCUGGAGGAACAUCAGUGGCGAAGGCGACUAUCUGGCACAUAACUGACGCUGAGGAGCGAAAGCGUGGGUAGCAAACAGGAUUAGAUACCCCAGUAGUC
rnacentral:rRNA from 1 species